ACAUGUGUGUGUCAGUCAAGCUGCAGCGGCAGCACUACUAACAUCCUUGUUUGGAGUUUGUUUUGUGAAACUUCACUAUUUUCCAGGAAGAAACGUGUGACUGAUGGGGCCCAGUUCUGGGAAGAAAAGAUGGUUGUGCGGGAAAUACACAGGUCAGUCUGGCACUGACGACCAUGCCACACUGAAAACCGCUUCAUUCCCCAUUCUGAUGAUUGGUUGAACGUCUUCACCACUUAUAGAUUUCUAAAUGUAUUGAGUUGCUGCAAUGUGAUUGGCUUAUUCAUUACUUGUGUUGUGCAGCUAUCCAACAAAGAUGCUGGUCAGUUACGCUGGCAGGCCAUAGCUUGCUCGCCGAGGGCCUUGAGUGGGACAACAAGAGGAGGGUCGCUGAUAUUGGAGGAGGAAAUACACACACGACAAAUCACACAAGGACAUGUACUCAUUGUUGCUAACCACCUCAUUCUCUGAGUGUGUGUGAAGGGCUGCAGUCAGCAUUGCUUUAAAAGAGUGGUGUGUUAUUAAGUGCACAGCCUAACACAGACACACACAGGACUGGGUGAAGGCUUGAUCGAAUUGCAGUUGGAUUUAUUUGGAAGAGCGGUGGAAAUUCGAUGUAGACUGCUGGACUUGAGCUAAAAACAUUUUUGUUCAGAAUGCAACACACAUAAAACAUGUUUUACAGUAAACCAUCCCAAAAGAUUAACACAUUCUUAGUUUUGUAAAUGUAAUAGAAUAGCUCUUGCAAUGUUAGCAAUCUGCGUUUUAGUUGCGUAACAUGGCAAACUGCAUUUCUUUCUGAUUCUUUAUAGGCAAAGGGGCAAUGAUUAUAUCACAGCUAAUAUGCUGCAGUGGAAAAGAAGAACUUAGAUGAUAAUCUUGUCUAAAAGAAAAGAGGAGUAACCUGAUAAACCAAUACAUAUGUGGAUAACAUUUAAUUUGAUCACUGCCCCUGUUGUGCCAUCAGAGAUAUUUUUGUGUGUGAACAGAAGCUGCACACUGAAAAACGAUACAUUACUUGAGUUGAUGCAUAUUCAAGCAGAAUCCUAUCCAAUCCUGUCCAAUAGCCUUUAAUUUAAUCUCACAAAGGGUAGUGAGUAAAUAUUUCAUUACAAGGGAGAAAUCUUUAAGUAGCACAAAAUAUUUUUUUUAUCAUUACUCUUUAUCUUAAAAGUUUUCAGGGAUAGUGCAGUAAAUUACAUUAUAUUGCAUCAUUCUUUAUUGCAAUCUGUAUCAAAAGGGAACUGUAUUUUUUUAUUGUAAUAACAGAUUGUGAUAGAAAUUUUGCACAUAAUGUAAUAUAAAAUUCCACUGAGACGUUAUCUCAACUAAAUGUCAUCAUUUUUAUUUUUUAAGUCUAUUUGUACAAAUUAUUUUCUUAGUUUAUAAAGAUUUUACAAAUCUAACAUCACUGAUUUAAAAAAAGGAAAGGUUGGGUAGACAAAAGUGAAUUUAAUAGGGAUGUUUUCUAUAGGAGCUAUACAUACACCCCACUAAUGUUUUAAUAAAUGUCACUUAGCACUAAGCAAAAACACAUGCUUUUUGUAGUUAAUACGAUUUUGGUAUACUUUUGAAUGAAUAUUUGACCACUCUUUUUGUAAGAAUUGGGAGAGUUUAUUUAAACUGGUUUGUUUUCAACAGGGUUGAACUUGGGCCACUCCAGAAUUAAUUUUAGUCUGCUUUUUCUACUCCAAAUUCCGUUUAACAUGCAUUUUAGAUGAUUAAGACAAAUAUUCAAUCAUCUAGCAGUUAAUUUUUAGUACAUUUGAAGAAAUUGGAGGUACUACUUUUUUCAAAACAGUUUUUGAAAUGCACUAGCAGUAAAAAAAGGCCCAUUGCAUGAUGUUACCACUACCAUGCU